GUUAGGCUUAGAUCGAUGUGGAUUGAAAAAUGAGGUUACUGAUGUAGAUGAACCAAGUCGUUGCGAAUAUGUAGCAUUCCUAUCAACUCCAGCAGUAUGCUUCGAGGAAAAACUUAUGGAACUACAACAAAAACUAGACCCGAUGAACAAAGAACAACCCCAAAACCAUGACGAGCUUUGAGUUUUCACAUGGAGUUUUCCCUAGUAUUUUUUAGAAGUAAUCUGACAGGUUAGGCUGAGAUCUAUUUUGAACACAUAACUCGACUUGACAUCUCGACAGCAAAUUGGAGCGAUGAGCUGAUUUUUUUACAUUCUAAAAGACUAAUAUAGAACAAACUUUAAUUUGGUUGGGAGUUGGAUUGUAGCUAUUGAGUUAAAACAGCAUGUUAAUUAAGUGGUGCAUUUUUGAACUAAAAUUGUAGUGGUGCACAUUCUGAUUUUGCAUACUAUACCCAAAAACUGUCUUUAGUAGAUUUAAAAUAAAUCUAUGGAAAAGUUAUAAUA